AAAGGCCCGAAUUCACAAAGGUGGACUAAAGUUAUACCCGGGGUAUAAAACGCGUCAUUUGACGUCAUUUUAAUCCAUGGACUAAAGUUAGUACCUAGGUACUAACUUUUGCGAUUCACAAAGGUGGACUAAAGUUAUACCGGGGUAUAAAACGCGUCAUUUGACGUCACGAUUUAGUCAGCUCUUUGGGGUGGACUAAAUCGGUGGAUUAAAGUUAGUCCACGGUUUUAACCAAUCAGAGAGCAGCAUUGCGGUUGCAGAAAAGUUUGCUGCAAAAAAAAAGGUUUUUGGACGGAGACGAGAUUCGGUGUGAUCGGCUUAUCUAAAGCUUAAAAUUUCACGACUUCGACCGAGAUUAAACAGACCAUACUCGGCAGAUUGUGAGAUUGUGAUCAAUCAAGACGACAAACAUGGCUCACAUUUUUGAACUGCUGUGCCUUCUUGCAACAGAGUGAGAUUCAGCAACACAUAGGAAGACCACAGCAUGGAUUAAGAGACGGGAAGAAUCCAUUUGAAUGCUACAAGGAUGAACCUUUCAGAGUGGGCUACCAACAGAGAGAAACGACACAUUGCCUGACAUGUUACAUGUUUUGACAGGACUUUGUUUUUAUGCCAUUGGUACCUUUUAGAAGAUGCAAGCAGACAAAGCAACUAUAUCAUAGUCAUCCGUGUGCAGAAUCAUCAAAGAUUUUUCUGAGGCAAUGGCAAGGAGUAACAGUUAAUGAAGUGUCCGAUGACGAGAAAUUCAAACCACCCAGCGACAAUUUGAUGAUUGCUACAGGUUUCCAAGAGUCGUAGGUGCUAUCGAUUGGGGCCAUGUCUACAUCAGGAGUCCUGAUGGGGAACAAGCCCUGUACUUAGCAGGAAGAACAGGUCUUCUGUAAAUGUAUAGGUAUCCGUUGCUCCUCUCUUUGAUGAAUUCCUGCCUGCAUUCUGUUGUCAAUAGAAAAGGACCAUGUGCUUCGGGUAUUAAGCAUUCCAUUGGAUUAUCUGUGUAUGAAAGUGGACACUUGUGAUCACAAAAUGGUAGCUUAGUUAAUAGGAUGUAUUCAUGCAUUCCGAUUUAUGAUCAAAUGACCAUCUUGCUUUUAAAAACCCAAAUUCACAACAUUUUUCUUGUUUGACAAAAGGUUUGGGAUGUGAAUUCCAGGAAAUAAAUGACACACACGAUGGGCUAAUGUAUAAGCAGGGAUGUGAGAGGUAUAAGCAACAUUUUGCUCAUGCUUAACUAAGUUUGGCAUGAGAUGGUCUUGGUCAUUCUUAUGAUUCAAGUCUAUUUUUAUACCAUUU
rnacentral:lncRNA from 1 species